GACAGAGGGUGCAAACGUUGUUCGGAAUUACUGGGCGUAAAGCGCGUGUAGGCUGCUCCGAAAGUCGGAUGUGAAAGCCCUGGGCUCAACCUAGGAAGUGCAUUCGAAACUUCGGAGCUGGAGUCCUGGAGAGGAAGGCGGAAUUCUCGGUGUAGAGGUGAAAUUCGUAGAUAUCGAGAGGAACACCGGUGGCGAAGGCGGCCUUCUGGACAGUGACUGACGCUGAGACGCGAAAGCGUGGGGAGCAAACAGG
rnacentral:rRNA from 1 species